rnacentral:rRNA from 1 species
UCGAGAAUCUUCGGCAAUGGGCGCAAGCCUGACCGAGCGACGCCGCGUGGAGGAAGAAGGCCUUCGGGUUGUAAACUCCUGUUGGGGGGGACCAAUUCAAUGAGGGAACCCCUGAGGAAGCACGGGCUAAGUUCGUGCCAGCAGCCGCGGUAAGACGAACCGUGCGAACGUUAUUCGGAAUCAUUGGGCUUAAAGCGCGCGUAGGCGGCGGCGUAAGUGGAGGGUGAAAUCCUAUCGGCUCAACCGUGGAAUCGCCUUUCAAACUGCGUCGCUUGAGGAAGACAGGGGCACGCGGAACUUCCAGUGGAGCGGUGAAAUGUGUUGAGAUUGGAAGGAACGCCAGUGGCGAAAGCGGCGUGCUGGAUCUUAUCUGACGCUGAGGCGCGAAAGCUAGGGGAGCAAACGG